rnacentral:rRNA from 1 species
GACAAAACUGGCAUGUGAUACCUUUUCGGAAAGCCCAAAGAGAGUUCUCCGAUGAAUGAGGAAGGAAAAUGGAAUUCUUCUAUUGGUUUUUUUUUCUACUCCAAAUUUUGACCUUAAUGUAAUUUUUCGGGCCUUUUUGCGAUCUUUACUAUAUUAGGGGGCGAAAAUUAUAUGUUCGCACAUUGUUUUCGUUGCAUGUAUCAAAGCUCUUAUAAACAAGAUAGGGUAUUCCUACAUAGCUGGUGGGACCCACGACAAAUCGAUCAUAAAGUUUUCAAAAAAGAAUAGAUACGAUUGCAUUGCAUGUAGUAACGAAUGCGAUCAUACCAGCACUAAUGCACCAUAUCCCAUCAAAACUUCGCAGUUAAGCGUGCUUGGGCGAGAGUAGCACUAGGAUGGGUGACCUCCAGGAAAGUCCUCAUGUUGCAUCCCUCUGUUUUCUGUUUUUUUUUUUU